rnacentral:rRNA from 1 species
CCUACGGGAGGCAGCAGUGGGGGAUAUUGGACAAUGGGGGGAACCCUGAUCCAGCGACGCCGCGUGAGUGAAGAAGUAUUUCGGUAUGUAAAGCUCUGUCAGCAGGGAAGAAAGCAAUGACGGUACCUGACCAAGAAGCCCCGGCUAACUACGUGCCAGCAGCCGCGGUAAUACGUAGGGGGCAAGCGUUAUCCGGAAUUACUGGGUGUAAAGGGAGCGUAGACGGCUGUGCAAGUCUGGAGUGAAAGGCGGGGGCCCAACCCCCGGACUGCUCUGGAAACUGUAUGGCUGGAGUGCAGGAGAGG